rnacentral:lncRNA from 1 species
AGAGCUAGAAGGGCAAUUGAAGUGUGAACAUACCAGGAAAGCUCAGGGAAAGUGGUUCCCGAAACCAUCUUUCCCAUAGCUUGUCUCUUGGGAUGGGCUUUUCCACAGUGACGUGAUUCAGUGUGAUUGCAUGCUUAUGUGUUUACAACCAGCAGGCACAGGGCUGCCACUGACUACACGAUGAUGGGAGGAUGGACGCCGCCUUCAGGAGCUGGAGGAGCAGAAGACGUGAACAAAGUGGAGAUGAAGAGAGUCCUUCCAUCCAUCUGCUGGACCUGCUGGGCCUCAGGGCUUUCUCUGAAGUGGUAGGGGGAAGAUGUCACAGAGGAAAUGUAAAGAAAAGUCUACCUCGGCAGUCUACAGCGUGGUGGAUAAAAAAAGAGCAGGAAGAGUCUGGCGAGGCGAUCAGCCUGAUGUAGUACCUGAGGAAGGCAAGAAAGGAUAUAAAGAAAAUAAGAAACAACACUUUCUCUGCACAUCCAAAUUGUGGCAAGGAUUUUUGCAGAUUGCCACCAGUUCACUGAGAGGAGUCAUUGAAAACAUGGCAUUGAGGACAGAGACUGCCACUUCAGAAUUUUCUACAUCCAACUGCUGAAGCCACUCGAAGAUAUUUCCCUCAGAGAACCAUAACCAGCUUUGGAGAAGAUGCUUCCACAUAGCUUGUUUCACAGCAUCUCAUCUCUCAUUAAAACCUUGUUGAGGGAGCAUUACUGUCUGAGCAAUGGACAUAGCUCUCAUACGAACCUUUUCAGCUAACACCGGAUAAGCCAGCUUUCUGACAGCCUCUUUCACAUCCUUGGUGCACCCUACAAUUUUUGGCAAAGUCUUUGCUGAUGGUGCAAUACAUGAUAA